AGCUUUGUGCAGUGGCAGUAUCAUAGUCAAUGAGGUUUAUUCAAGGCAUGAUAAUUGCUAAUUGAAAAAACUUGACUUUAUGUCGAUGUCCCUGGUGAAUACAGAUAUAAAAUGUUGCAAUAAAUUAGGUUU
ensembl:snRNA LOC120097637 U4 spliceosomal RNA